UCCGAGUUGACCCCGGCAGUCUCCUAUGAGUCCCCACCAUAACGUGCUGGCAACAUAGGACGAGGGUUGCGCUCGUUGCGGGACUUAACCCAACAUCUCACGACACGAGCUGACGACAACCAUGCACCACCUGUACACCAGUCCGAAGACGCGACCAUCUCUGGCCGAUUCCGGUGUAUGUCAAGCCUUGGUAAGGUUCUUCGCGUUGCAUCGAAUUAAUCCGCAUGCUCCGCCGCUUGUGCGGGCCCCCGUCAAUUCCUUUGAGUUUUAGCCUUGCGGCCGUACUCCCCAGGCGGGGCACUUAAUGCGUUUGCUGCGGCACGGAACUCGUGGAAUGAGCCCCACACCUAGUGCCCAACGUUUACGGCAUGGACUAC
rnacentral:misc_RNA from 1 species